UAAAUGACUCUCGGCAACGGAUAUCUCGGCUCUCGCAUCGAUGAAGAACGUAGCGAAAUGCGAUACUUGGUGUGAAUUGCAGAAUCCCGUGAACCAUCGAGUCUUUGAACGCAAGUUGCGCCCCAAGCCUUUAGGCCGAGGGCACGCCUGCCUGGGUGUCACAC
rnacentral:rRNA from 6 species